rnacentral:rRNA from 1 species
CGUACAGGUCUCCGUAGGUGAAUCUGCGGAGGGAUCAUUACACAAAUAUGAAGGCGGGCUGGAACCUCUCGGGGUUACAGCCUUGCUGAAUUAUUCACCCUUGUCUUUUGCGUACUUCUUGUUUCCUUGGUGGGUUCGCCCACCACUAGGACAAACAUAAACCUUUUGUAAUUGCAAUCAGCGUCAGUAACAAAUUAAUAAUUACAACUUUCAACAACGGAUCUCUUGGUUCUGGCAUCGAUGAAGAACGCAGCGAAAUGCGAUAAGUAGUGUGAAUUGCAGAAUUCAGUGAAUCAUCGAAUCUUUGAACGCACAUUGCGCCCUUUGGUAUUCCAAAGGGCAUGCCUGUUCGAGCGUCAUUUGUACCCUCAAGCUUUGCUUGGUGUUGGGCGUCUUGUCUCUAGCUUUGCUGGAGACUCGCCUUAAAGUAAUUGGCAGCCGGCCUACUGGUUUCGGAGCGCAGCACAAGUCGCACUCUCUAUCAGCAAAGGUCUAGCAUCCAUUAAGCCUUUUUUUCAACUUUUGACCUCGGAUCANGNANGGAUACCCGCUGAACUUAAGCAUAUC